rnacentral:tRNA from 1 species
UCCUGGCUGGCUCAGUUGGUAGAGCAUGGGACUCUUGAUCUCAGGGUCAUGAGUUCAAGUCCCAUGUUGGGCA